rnacentral:rRNA from 1 species
AUUGAACGCUGGCGGCAGGCCUAACACAUGCAAGUCGAGCGGAGCGGCGGACGGGCGAGUAAUGCCUAGGAAUCUGCCCGGUAGUGGGGGAUAACGUCCGGAAACGGGCGCUAAUAUCGCACACUAUCAGAUGAGCCUAGGUCGGAUUAGCUAGUUGGUGGGGUAAAGGCCUACCAAGGCGACGAUCCGUAACUGCUCUGAGAGGCCGAUCAGUCACACUGGAACUGAGACACGGUCCAGACGCCUACGGGAGGCAGCAGUGGGGAAUAUUGGGCAAUGGGCGAAAGACUGAUGCAGCCAUGCAGCGUGAGUGAAGAAGGUCUUCGGAUUGUAAAGCUCUUUAAGUUGGGAAGCGUUACCAACAGAAUAAGCACCGGCUAACUUCGUGCCAGCAGCCGCGGUAAUAC